GCCCUUCCGGCCCCUCCUCGAAAUCAAAAGGAUCUUCCUAUUCGUCGUGCAGGGACACCCAGGUUGCUGACAGGAGGCCCUCAGCAGCAGCAGCUGAUAGAAAUCCCAAGAUCACCGAGGAGAUGAUGCAGGAGAUGGAUUAUGACGCCGACCGCGCUUGGUACGACCGUGAAGAAGAACACGGCGCUGUAUUCAGUGCUGACAAUUGUCUUGGAGAUGAUGCAUCCUUUCGAAUUAAGAAGACGGCAAAGCUGACUCGCCACGAUGGAACUCGGGUGACUCUUGCUCAGACCAAAAGGCUGUCACAUAUCACCGCCGAGAAUGCUCGGUGGGAGGACAGCCAGCUGUGCAGAUCCGGAGCCGUUCGAAGGACAGGGGUGCAGACAGAGUUCGAUGAUGAAAAUGAGCGUAGAGUGACACUACUUGUUCAUGACACGAAACCCCUGUUCCUUGAUGGACAGGCAGUGUUAUCAGAGCAAGCGGAGCCUGUGACGCCGCUCAAGGACCCAACGUCCGACAUGGCUAUCAUCGCACGCAGAGGCUCUCUUAUGGUCAGGGAGAUCCGUGAGAAGCAGAGUAUGAACAAGUCGAGACAGCGCUUCUGGGAGCUUGCCGGAUCGAAGCUUGGUGAUAUUCUGGGUGUCGAGAAAACAGCUGAACAGGUCGAUACUGAUACAUCGGUUGUUGUUGGUUUUAAAGAGAAGCUGAAAUUUUCACAGCACAUGAAGGAAAAAGCAGAGGCCGUCAGUGAUUUUGCAAAAUCGAAAUCUCUUUCUGAGCAGAGGCAAUAUCUUCCCAUAUACGCUGCCCGGGAUGACCUUCUAGAGGUUGUGCGUGAGAACCAGGUGGUCGUGGUCAUUGGCGAAACUGGUUCCGGGAAGACUACCCAGCUCACUCAGUAUCUUCAUGAGGAUGGAUACACAAGGACUGGCCUCGUCGGUUGCACACAACCAAGACGUGUGGCUGCCAUGAGUGUCGCUCGGCGUGUCAGCGAAGAGAUGGGGACUGCGCUUGGGGACGAAGUUGGAUAUGCUAUCCGGUUUGAGGAUGUAACGUGUCCUAACACGAAGAUAAAGUACAUGACAGAUGGAGUGCUUCUCCGCGAAACAUUGAAGGAUGCUGACCUUGACAGAUACCGGGUUAUCAUCAUGGAUGAGGCGCAUGAGAGAUCACUCAACACUGAUAUUUUGUUCGGUAUACUGAGGAAGGUUGUUGCAUGUCGACGGGAUUUUAAGCUAAUCGUCACGUCUGCAACACUAAAUGCAGACAAGUUCUCGAAAUUCUUUGGAGGCGCACCUGUAUUUCACAUACCAGGCAGGACAUUUCCAGUGAAUAUCUUGUUCAGCAAAACGCCAUGUGAAGACUAUGUGGAAGCGGCAGUGAAGCAGGCCAUGGCAAUCCACAUAACGAGUGGCCCUGGGGACAUACUCAUCUUCAUGACUGGGCAGGAAGAGAUUGAGGCUGCUUGCUAUGCGCUUGCCGAGCGCAUGGAGCAGCUAGUAUCAUCAUCCACCAAGCCUGUACCCAAUCUCUUAAUCUUGCCCAUCUAUUCGCAGUUGCCCGCUGACUUGCAGGCCAAGAUCUUUCAGAAGGCGCAAGAGGGCACUCGCAAAUGCAUCGUUGCUACCAACAUCGCCGAGACAUCCCUGACAGUAGAUGGUAUUUUGUAUGUCAUUGAUACUGGGUAUGGAAAGAUGAAGGUACACAAUCCACGGAUGGGCAUGGACGCUCUUCAGGUGUUUCCAUGUAGCCGAGCAGCGGCAGACCAGCGUGCGGGGCGUGCAGGAAGAACUGGUCCUGGCACAUGCUACAGGCUGUUCACCGAAUCAGCUUACCAGAAUGAGAUGCUCCUUAACCCCGUGCCAGAGAUCCAAAGGACCAACCUUGGGAAUGUGGUCCUUUUGCUGAAAUCUCUCAAUGUCGAAAAUUUGCUCAAUUUCGACUUCAUGGACCCACCUCCCCCGGAGAAUAUCCUGAACUCCAUGUACCAGCUCUGGCUCUUGGGCGCCUUGAACAAUCUGGGUGGCCUUACAAGUCUAGGUCGUAAGAUGGUGGAGUUCCCAUUAGACCCAACCCUGGCAAAGAUGCUUCUCAUGGGGAAGGAGCUGGGGUGCCUUGAGGAAGUACUGACAAUUGUGUCCAUGCUCUCGGUGCCAUCGGUAUUCUUCCGGCCAAAAGAUCGAGCAGAGGAGAGUGAUGCCGCAAGGGAGAAGUUCUUUGUCCCGGAAUCUGACCAUCUGACACUCCUCAAUGUAUACAAGCAAUGGGAGUUGAACCAAUGCAGGGUAGACUGGUGCAGUGACCACUUCCUCCAUGUCAAGGGUCUCCAGAAGGCUCGGGAAGUGAGGUCUCAGUUGCUGGACAUACUAAAUGCCCUGAGGAUCCCGCUGACUCCAUGCUGUAUGGAAUGGGACGUGGUGAGGAAGGCCAUCUGCUCAGCAUACUUCCAGAAUUCCGCACAGCUGAAGGGCAUUGGAGAGUACGUCAACUGUCAGAAUGGGAUUCCGUGCCAUCUGCAUCCCAGCAGCGCCCUCUACGGUCUCGGCUACACCCCCGAGUACGUCGUCUACCACGAGCUUGUCCUGACAGCCAAGGAGUAUAUGCAAUGUGUCACUGCAGUUGACCCACAAUGGCUGGCGAAGGUGGGUCCCAUGUUGUUCUCUGUGAAGGAGGGCGACACCUCCUUCCUUGACCGCGGGAGGUGGCAUGAUGAGGAGAAGUCGACCAUGGAUGAGAUGGAGAAGAUGAGGCAGGAGCAAGUGGAGGCGGCAGGCAGAGAGAAUGGGAGGCUGGAGAAGAGAGGCAAGCGGCAGCAGGUUGCUAUGCCGGGACUGAAGAAAGGUUUGGCGUAUAUGAGGCCCAAAAGGAGGAUGGGUUUGUAGGUAGGAAAUGUUGAUUGGGUAUGUUUGAUGUGCUGAUAUAGUCUACCCUCUUAGUAUGUACAGAUGUGGGACACUCACAAUAAUGAAUGCAUUAUGAUUUUAAUUCUAAUGGAUUUUGGUACUCCUCAACCUUACUUAAUUUCUUAGUAAAUAAUGGUUGUAGAAUCCUAUUACUACUUCGCUUGUUUAGUUAAAUUGUGAACCAUUUUGGCAGUAACAUUUAUACCCUACAUAUCUCACCCGCAACUGUGGCAUAAGAAUUUCAUUGUACGACAUCAAGUGCUUUGUGUUACCUAGGUCUUCUAAUUCUAAUUUAGUGUGUGUCCUAUUCUCAAAAGAAAAUUAAGUUUGUCCUUUGAGAAGUUAUUUGUACAUUAUCAAGAGAGCUUUCUGUUGUUUUCUCCAUUAUUCAGCUCGCUGCCUUUAUGAUGUUUCCGCAUUACACAUGCUUAAGUGAGUAUGGUCUGAUCAUAUGGACGCAGAAACAUCAUCUAAUCGACACUUGGUAGGUUGUUGAUCAGAUUUAGAUUGAGUUUCCUCUAAGACCCAUUUACAUGGAAAGAGUUUUCUCCAAGAUCAGAUUCACAAAACAAUGAAUAUGUUUUGUUGCUGUAUAUAUGAAGAUUUAUCUGAUUAUAUGCUGCAACCUUAUUUUGGAAUUCAGAUUGCCAGUUGAACCCUGAAUUUUCUACAAUUCAAGUUUCAUGCCAUCUCUUACCUAGGUUUGUACGGAUUUAUCUUAUAUGUUUCUUUUUCCAUGAUAGCUCAUGGAACAACAAGGUCUCUGAUAGCUCAAUAUUUCCUUUGGUUCACAUUAAAUAGGAGCAGGCUCAAUUGUAAAAUCUACUGCAACGAUUUUGGUCUCAAUAUCUUGUAUUGUCAGUUUCAACAAAAACGAACUCUAGUUUCUGAGCUUAUGGAGUACGGGAUGUCCAAGGAUCCUCAACGGAUUUGAAUGCACAAACAGUGUCUGGGGAAGAUGACAAGACCUUUGAUGAUACUGUUGAUAUUGAUUUUGCAUGAUAAGUUAGGAAGAAGCUCGUAUAUGUUGAACUGCACCUGCCUCAGCCUGCUGUGCUGCAAGAUUGAGUAGCAAUGCUAGUUUGCUUCCAGGACAUGUUUUUCUUCUUCUUUGAUUGAGGUGUGGCGAAGGUUUCGUUUCGAAUAAAGGCUGCAGCACCAGCUGAAUCUGCAUAUCCCAACGCGAGAAAUGGAUUAUCAGAACAAGAGAACAAAUGCUUUUUUUUCCCUUUGUGUGAAAAGAAAAAAAUACAUAGGUACCAUGAUUGUUGAUCAAGGAGGAGGAGAAUAAACAGAGCAGAUGCAACGCAAUCGAAUGGUCUUACCGGUUGGCACCUGCAACGAGCCGCAAGCCAUCUUGCAUGAGGUGGCGCCGAUGGCGGUAUCUGCAGUGGUCUGCUCACCUGAUCAGGCAGAGCCAUGGCGGUUGGUUUUGCCUGCCCAGAGGGUUGGCCAGGCCACUGACAGCCACCUGCUACUGCUCUCCGACAGCAUCAGGAGGAGCAUGCGCGCCCUCUUCGUGAUAGCUUCUUCUUCAGGGCCGAGCGAGGAGAGAAAUGUUGUGGAGUUUGAGUUCUGAUGGUGAAACCAAUAUUUCACUCGUAUAGUACUUUCACUAUUUCCCAGCAAAUUAAUGGAUACAGUUUCAAGUUGAGUGUCCUAUAUCCAGCUCUGCCACGGUAUUCAUUUUCUCAACAAAAUGGGACUUUGUGUA